rnacentral:rRNA from 1 species
GACGAACGCUGGCGGCGUGCUUAACACAUGCAAGUCGAACGGAAAGGCCCUGCUUUUGUGGGGUGCUCGAGUGGCGAACGGGUGAGUAACACGUGAGUAACCUGCCCUUGACUUUGGGAUAACUUCAGGAAACUGGGGCCAAUACCGGAUAGGAGCUCCUGCUGCAUGGUGGGGGUUGGAAAGUUUCGGCGGUUGGGGAUGGACUCGCGGCUUAUCAGCUUGUUGGUGGGGUAGUGGCUUACUAAGGCUUUGACGGGUAGCCGGCCUGAGAGGGUGACCGGCCACAUUGGGACUGAGAUACGGCCCAGACUCCUACGGGAGGCAGCAGUGGGGAAUAUUGCACAAUGGGCGGAAGCCUGAUGCAGCAACGCCGCGUGCGGGAUGACGGCCUUCGGGCUGUAAACCGCUUUCGCCUGUGACGAAGCGUGAGUGACGGUAAUGGGUAAAGAAGCACCGGCUAACUACGUG